ACGCAAUAGAUACCCAGGUAGUCCACGCCGUAAACGUUGGGCGCUAGGUGUGGGGGCCAUUCCACGGUCUCCGUGCCGCAGCUAAACGCAUUAAGCGCCCCGCCUGGGGAGUACGGCCGCAAGGCUAAAACUCAAAGGAAUUGACGGGGGCCCGGCACAAGCGGCGGAGCAUGUUGCUUAAUUCGAUGCAACGCGAAGAACCUUACCUAGGCUUGACAUGCACGGAAAUCUCGCAGAGAUGCGGGGUUCCGUAAGGGCCGUGCACAGGUGGUGCAUGGUUGUCGUCAGCUCGUGUCGUGAGAUGUUGGGUUUAAAGUCCCGCAACGAGCGCAACCCUCGUUCCAUGUUGCCAGCACGUGAUGGUGGGGACUCAUGGGAGACUGCCGGGGGUUCAACUCGGAGGAAGGUGGGGACGACGUCAAAUCAUCAUGCCCCGUUAUGUCUAGGGCUGCAAACAUGCUACAAUGG
rnacentral:rRNA from 1 species